UGCUAGGCUAAACUAAUGCUGGGGGCGUCAGACAGAGUUACAACACGCACAGAGAAGAAAAGGGUAUGUAUUGACUUGUCUAACUCUGGGGGAUACAGUGAAUAAGCUAAUGUCCCAAUAAGUUGGCGUGUUCCUUUAAAAACUAAACAGAGCAUAGAA